rnacentral:rRNA from 1 species
AUGUGGUCGAAGAAUGAGCCACACCUCCAGAGCCUCCUGCUUAUCGUCGUUCCGUUCCUCCUUGUUUCCACAGCCUCUGCCGCGAAUCCUGUAUCUGACAUCCUCGACAAGGGCCGCAACAUCACCGACGGUGAGACCCUUGUCUCAGCUGGUGGGUCAUUCACCCUGGGUUUCUUCCCUCCUGGGGUGCUAGGCAAGCGAUACCUUGGGAUUUGGUUCUCCGUGGAUGAGGACGCCAUCUGUUGGGUAGCUAACAGAGACCAUCCUCUCACUGACGCUCGCGGGGCGCUGGUGAUCAGUGACACGGGAAGCCUUCUUUUAAUUGAUAGCUCCGGCCAGGUCGUGUGGUCUUCAAACACGACAGGCACUGCCUCAACGACGGUGCAGCUGCUCGAGUCUGGCAACCUAGUCUCAAGAGAUGGGAACGCCAGCGGUGCCAUCACGUGGCAGUCGUUUGACCACCCGUCAAACACAUUGCUGCCCGGCAUGAAGAUUGGCAAGAACCUAUGGACCGGGGAAGAGUGGUACCUCACGUCAUGGCGUUCAGCUGACGACCCUGCCACAGGGAAUUUUCGCUACAUCACUGACACGGAGGGCGUACCACAAAAUGUGAUGUUGGAUGGUGGCAAAAGGAUUUACCGCACGGGACCGUGGAACGGCCUAUGGUUCAGUGGUGUCACGGAGAUGGGCACGUAUUCUGACAUGUUCAUCUACCGAUUGACGAGCAGCCCAAGCGAGAUAACCUACGGCUAUGUCGCCAAGGCUGGAACGCCCUUCUCACGUCUAGUUCUGACUGACGACGGACUAUUCCGACGUCUGGUAUGGGACACGAGCAGUCGAGCAUGGAAGAUCUUCUUCCAAGGGCCGAGGGAUAUCUGCGACCAGUACGGCAGGUGUGGGGCAUUUGGACUGUGCAACGCCAGUGCACCGUCGACGUCGUUCUGCAGCUGCGUCAGGGGGUUCAGCCCAGCAUCUCCCAUGCAAUGGAAGAUGAGGGACACCUCCAACGGUUGCCGCCGAAAUGUGACAUUGGACUGUGGUAAUGGAAUAUCCACCACGGAUGGUUUUGUUGUGAUGCAGGGAGUGAAGCUUCCUGAUACGCACAACGCAUCAGUGGAUGCUAGCAUCACGUUGGAGGAGUGCAGGACGAGGUGCCUGGCCAACUGUUCUUGUCUGGCGUAUGCUCCAUUGGAUCUCAAAGGAGGAGGCACUGGAACAGGCUGCAUCAUCUGGAGAGAGGACCUCAUGGACCUCCGGCUUGUAGAUGGGGGGCAAAGCCUGUAUCUGAGAUUAGCCAAGACAGAAUUAGGUGAACCGCAGCCACCCAAGUCGUUUCCUACUGGGAUUGUUAUUGGUGUAACAGUGCCCCUGGUCAUUAUUAUUCUGGCUCUCGUUGCUUUCUGGUUUUCCCCCUGGAGGAGACGAUGGAGCAGAGAAAGAAUAUUAGUAGACAAUCCUCCAAGGGUUUUAGACAAUGCUUCAAGGGUUGUAGACAAUGUCGCUCCUGAUAGUCAUCCUCCGAAUCUUGCGUUACUCACGACGUCCUUCCCUGCAGUUGGUCUUCCUGCUGUAGUACAGGCUACAGGAAAUUUCUCCGAAGCAAAUAUCAUUGGCAAAGGCGGAUUUAGUGUCAUCUACAAGGGGGAGCUAGAUGGUUAUGGAACGGUUGCUGUAAAGAGGCUCAAACAAGAUAGUCUUAGCGAGAAAGUCAAGGGGGAUUAUGCAAGGGAAAUAGUACUGAUGUCAAGGUUCACACAUGCCAAUCUUGUUAAGCUUCUCUGUUAUUGCCAAGAAAAAGCUGAGUGCAUACUUGUCUACGAGUUCAUGAGGAACAGAAGUUUGAAUCUCUACAUAUUUGGAGAAGAUAGCAGCCUCCGCUCCUUGCUGAAUUGGGCGCAAAGAGUAAAGAUAAUUCGUGGGAUCGCCGUAGGUCUGGAAUGGCUUCACGGCGAGGGAGUCAUUCACAGGGAUCUAAAACCAGGCAAUAUACUUCUGAAUGACACAUUGGAACCUAAGAUAGCAGACUUUGGCACUGCUAAGCCGUUAAUUGAGGACCCGACAAAUCAGACAUUGGUGCAGACAGCGGGGUAUGUGGCUCCAGAAUAUGCAGGGGAAGGGACCCUGACAUACAAGUGUGAUGCAUACAGCUUCGGAGUCGUCCUGCUGGAGAUACUCGGUGGCAAAAGAAAAAAAGACGAGCCAACGUUCCUUCCUCAAGUCUGGGAAUCAUGGAAGCAAUGCGAGAUCGGGGAGCUUCUUGAUCCGCAAGUGGGUGAACCUGAAGCUGAGGCCUUUUCGGUGCUAGCCAGGUGCAUCCAUAUUGGCCUUCUCUGCGUGCAGCAUUUGCCAGAGCAGAGGCCUGCCAUGCCUGAAGUUGUGGCAAUGCUAACCAACACCGGCGUGCAGCUCCCCAUGCCAAGCAAACCCACGGCCAAUAUCGGAGCUGGCCUUCAGGCACAACCAAUAUCGGAUGACACCCCCGGACCGAGCCGGACCCGGUGA